rnacentral:rRNA from 1 species
GACGAACGCUGGCGGCGUGCUUAACACAUGCCAGUCGAACGGAAAGGCCCUGCUUUUGUGGGGUGCUCGAGUGGCGAACGGGUGAGUAACACGUGAGUAACCUCCCCUUGACUUUGGGAUAACUUCAGGAAACUGGGGCUAAUACCGGAUAGGAGCUCCUGCUGCAUGGUGGGGGUUGGAAAGUUUCGGCGGUUGGGGAUGGACUCGCGGCUUAUCAGCUUGUUGGUGGGGUAGUGGCUUACCAAGGCUUUGACGGGUAGCCGGCCUGAGAGGGUGACCGGCCACAUUGGGACUGAGAUACGGCCCAGACUCCUACGGGAGGCAGCAGUGGGGAAUAUUGCACAAUGGGCGGAAGCCUGAUGCAGCAACGCCGCGUGCGGGAUGACGGCCUUCGGGUUGUAAACCGCUUUCGCCUGUGACGAAGCGUGAGUGACGGUAAUGGGUAAAGAAGCACCGGCUAACUACGUG